rnacentral:lncRNA from 1 species
UAUUUUUAACCAAUUAAAUGAUAACUCAUCUAACUUCUCAUUAAUCUUCUCCUCUGACCCUCUAACUUCGCCCCUUGUAAUCUUUACAACCUGACUACUACCUCUUAUAAUUCUAGCAAGCCAAUAUCACCUUUCCAAUGAGUCACCCCCAUGGAACAAACUCUAUAUUUCCAUAUUAAUUUCCCUACAAAUUUUUUUAAUCAUAGCAUUCACAGCCACAGAACUAAUUAUAUUUUAUAUUCUCUUUGAAGCCACACUUAUUCCUACCCUAAUUAUCAUUACCCGCUGAGGUAACCAAUCAGAACGACUCAAUGCAAGCUCAUAUUUCUUAUUUUACACACUAGUAGGGUCCCUUCCCCUACUUGUUACACUUGUCCAUACUCAAAAUACCUCGGGUUCUCUAAAUAUAACUGUAAUAAUAUUUACCACCCAAGAACUAUUAAACUCCUGUUCUAAUAAUCUUAUAUGAUUAGCAUGUAUUUUAGCUUUUAUGGUAAAAAUGCCUCCAUAUGGACUUCACCUGUGACUCCCCAAAGCCCACGUGGAAGCCCCUAUUGCUGGCUCAAUAGUACUUGCAGCAGUACUCCUAAAGCUAGGUGGCCACAGUAUUAUACGGCUUACCCUUACCCUCAACCCCCUAACAAAUAUAUAGCCUACCCCUUCCUCAUACUAUCCUUAUGAGGGAUCUUAUGACAAGCUCUAUUUGUCUAUGACAAACUGAUUUAAAAUCACUUAUCGCAUAUUCCUCCGUAAGCCACAUAGCACUUGUUAUUAUAGCUAUUCUCAUUCAAACCCCUUGAAGCUUUACAGGUGCAGUCACCCUUAUAAUUGCCCGUGGACUCACUUCAUCCUUACUAUUCUGCCUAGCAAAUUUGAAUUAUGAGCGAGUCCAUAGCCAAAUUAUAUUACUUGAGGCCUUCAAACACUGCUUCCACUGAUAGCCUCUUGAUGACUUUUAGCAAGUCUUACUAACCUUGCCUUACCCACUGCUAUUAAUCUAGUAGGAGAACUCUUCCUCGCUAUGGCUUCAUUCUCCUGAUCAAACAUCACCAUUAUGCUUAUAGGACUUAAUAUACUAAUUACAGCCCUUUACUCCUCACAUAUGCUAACCACAACACAACGAGGGACACUUGUGUAUUACAUUAACAGUAUUAAACCAUCCUUUACAU